rnacentral:lncRNA from 1 species
AUUGUACCAAAGUCUAGAACCCAAAAGUCCUUACAUAAAGUUUUAGAAACAUUAAAAGAGGAAUUUCUUCUAGAUCAUGGUUACAUAGCAAGUACCAGAACGUGGCUUACUGAUAGACUCCAUGAGAGAUGUUAGAUGUUAAAUUUCAGCAUGUAGUGCAAACAUUCCUUCUUCAAUUGAAGAGGAUGAAGGAACUUGCCAACAUUUUCAGAAUUUGAAGUUUCUUAAUAAGCUUCCUUGAGGGUUGUACUUUUAAUUCCGAUCCAGAGCUUUCUCCUUUCCAUGUAGCUUGAAGCAAGUCUCCUUAGUGUGGCUAGAUUUAUUACAAUGAGAGCACCCCCGAUUCUCCCUUCCUUUUAAACUCCGUUUUAUGUUUGCAAGAUUUGAAGUCCCAGGUUCGGAAGUCUUUCCGGAGAACAUGGCAACUCCUUCAAUGGAGGGUUCAUUCAUCAUGACCAUUCGACGAGUCUCCCAUCUUAGACAAUGUAAAAGACUUCAAAAAGAGAAAGAAGUGUUUCCUUCCCAAGAAUUUGUGCCCUAACAAGUCUCCUUAGUGUGGCUAGAUUUAUUACAAUGAGAGCACCCCCGAUUCUCCCUUCCUUUUAAACUCCGUUUUAUGUUUGCAAGAUUUGAAGUCCCAGGUUCGGAAGUCUUUCCGGAGAACAUGGCAACUCCUUCAAUGGAGGGUUCAUUCAUCAUGACCAUUCGACGAGUCUCCCAUCUUAGACAAUGUAAAAGACUUCAAAAAGAGAAAGAAGUGUUUCCUUCCCAAGAAUUUGUGCCCUAACAGGGUCAUAUUCAAGAUUCAAUCCUGAUAAGAACUUAUAUAUGAGAAUGUUCAACAAACUGAGCAAGAGUGACAACAUCUCUAUUAUUUUCAAGCCUCAAAUUUUGAUACAGGUUCAACUCAAUCCACAAACCCUUCAACAUUCCAUAAUAUUCUACAACAGAGAGUGUCCUACUUGACAAAAGAUCUUGCUUUCUAACUCAUAACCUGUAGAGAAGUCCUUUCACAUGGAAUAAGUAUUUGCAAGGUAUUCCCAAAUUUCACAGGCACUUAUCUAGAACAUAUGAUUUCUACUAAUUUCAAUAGUCAUGGAUCCCCAUAACCAUGUAAUAAUUGGAGUCAUCAUUGUCUCAAAUUUGGAAAUUAGGGUUAUCGUGAGAUAUAGCCUUUCCUUCAAUAUGGUUGAAGAAUCUACUUGUACCCUUUGACGUAUGUAUGUGGAGAUAAUUUCGACCAAUAAGGUGGUUGUCAUCGUGCAAGUGUGGAAGAUCAGGAUUGCUUAUUGGAGUUGUCAUGCUAAAAUAAAGAAUAGGGAUUCCUCAAUCUUCUCCUAAAUAAUAAAGAGAACAAUAUGAUAAAUAAAACAGAAUAGUGUGGUCUUGGAGGAUGACAAAUCUCGUGGUGAGAUCGUGGUGUGAUUUCCAGUGAUGGUGGUGACAACUCCGACGAUUGCGGCAACGGAGAUAGCAAGGAUAGUGCCAAGUUUGGUACACUUCAGGCAACCCCAAUUAAUCAAAGAAAAUGGAACACUUCAGGCAACCCAAAAAAGAACCGUAGCGAAGACGGUAAAGAAUAAAUGCGGAUGCAGGGCCCAAGAUCAAGAGCUCUAAUACCAACUUGAAAAGGAUUAAUC